AUAGGGUGCAUAGCCUCUCACUAGUUUUGGACGCACUCUGUUAAUAUCCAUAUAUGUACAUAUGUCCGAAAAACAAUGAAAGACGUAUAUUGUGCUAAUACAAUUUAUAAUAUUUGUCUUUAUUCGAUUUUAUAUGGUUUAGCUAAUUUUAUAUUUUAAAUGUUAGUUUUAUACAAAGGUUGUCGAUUUAAUCAACUGCUUGCUGCGGAUGGAUGGUGAAAAACGAAUGAAGAUACGUGAAUCGGAACGCAGGUCGAAAAAGAAGAAAUCGCGGGUAUCAUUGACGAUCCUUUCUAUUCCUUUUUGUGUGGUGUACGGUGUUGUUAUGUGUGUGGGUGUGUUGAUGUGACAGUUUUCUUCUGUUCUGUGGUGAGUGUGGUGAAUGUUAUGUAUCAGUGGUGUGGAUUUGGAUAAAUGUUGUGUGCCAGUGUGGUAUGUUGAUGCUUAGUGAGUGUGGAUGAAUGUUACAGUUGGGGGUUGAGCCAGACUCAUUUAAACAUCCCGGCCCCCCUAGGCGAAUGUUUUAGCCUAGCAGUCGCUGUAGUUGUUAUAGCGUACCUACAAGGCUACUAAGGCUUGUGUUGCGCCAAGACUGUGAUCCGAAUUGGUCGUCAAGUUGAUCGACAAUAUAUGGUAAUUUUUGUGUUAGUUUGAAUGGAUUAUUCGUUACGGACUUAUUCGACUGUCCUUGUGUAUGCACUAAUGUAUGUUGUUGCGCGUAUGAGAGCUCGUGAUAGAGAUCAAUGGCUUUUUUACAUUGCAUUAUUACUUUUGGAUUACUUAUUAUGGACUUAUUCGACUGUCCUUGUGUAUGCACUAAUGUAUGUUGUUGCGCGUAUGAGAGCUCGUGAUAGAGAUCAAUGGCUUUUUUACAUAUGUGUGCAUGUAUGUGCAUAUAUUUAAGAAAAUAUAAUAUGGUUUGUGCAAUCCGGCUUGUUUUUCAUUAAACAUGUUUAAAAAUGUUUGUAGGGUGUUGAGGAAUAGACAGAUUAUAUGUAGUAUAAAUGUUAGUAUGUUUGCGCGAUAAGAAGAGCGUGAAAACGGAAUAGGUAAUAUGCGGUUAUUUUAUCCACUGCACCUUUUCAUUACUUAUUGGUUACUAUGCAGCUUACUGCUUUCAGAAGCUGAAGGCGUAUCGCCGGAACAUAUUGCAAGUGUCCAUGUGCAUAUUUAUAUACUUGAAUAUGUUUUUUAUAUGUGUUAUGUAUAUUUAUAUACAAAUGUAAGCGCAUUGGCAAUUUGUGGUGUAUAUAUGUAUAUGUUAUUUUAUCUAAGCCGAAUUUUUGCAUAUAAAUAAAUAAAAUCUGGAAUCGAUACAACUCAAUUUAUACCGCUUAAAGAGGUAUGGGAAUGUGUAUAGAUUGUGAGUUUAUAUUGCGUUUUCCGAUCCAAUUUAUUUGCUCCUAUUCUACAGGCUGCCAGCUGUUCUGUUGCUCGCUGUGCUUUGUUUCUGUUAUAAUGCAGCUGGAGGUGUGUAUAUUGUUGUUGUUAUUUUCGAGCCCGUUUUUGUUACAUUCACAUUAUGUUGAUUAUGUUAUGUUAAUGUUUAGUGCUUAGUUUACCGCCCGUUUGUUUUUGUAUUUAUGUUUGUUUUUUAUUUAUUUUUCUUCUGGACGAGUGAUACUUAUAUUGCAUACUUGUUUUGCACUGUUUCUUUCUUUUUGUUAUAAGUUUGUAUACUUAUAUGAUUGUGUAUAUUUAUACUCUCGCAACAAAAGUUGUUGUUUUAUUUAAAUAUUUUGCGCAGUUGUAUAUUUUAUUAUUGUGUUAGUCACUGCACAUUUAUUUUAUAAGAAUAUAUAUUCCGUUCACUGCAAUUAUUUUUUACUUUUCUUUUUGUAUUUCCGAAUUUUUGUCACCGCAUUUUAUGAUUUUAAUGUGUAUGUAUUUUAUUUGAUUUUUUGGUAGUAUCACCAAUAGUGCCUUUCAGUAAGGCUCGAAGGACCAUGAAUAAUAGGGUGCAUAGCCUCUCACUAGUUUUGGACGCACUCUGUUAAUAUCCAUAUAUGUACAUAUGUCCGAAAAACAAUGAAAGACGUAUAUUGUGCUAAUACAAUUUAUAAUAUUUGUCUUUAUUCGAUUUUAUAUGGUUUAGCUAAUUUUAUAUUUUAAAUGUUAGUUUUAUACAAAGGUUGUCGAUUUAAUCAACUGCUUGCUGCGGAUGGAUGGUGAAAAA